UAUUAAACCACACUGACUGAUGAUCACUGGAUCCUAAACUUUCACCUACAGUAAUAUCUGAUACCAAAUCUCCAUUUGUUAACACUAAAUCUAGUAUGGCCUCUUUACGAGUUGGCUCCUCAACAACUUGUUUUAGAGACAAUCCCAGUAGGGAGUUUAGAAUAUGUGUGCUCCUGCCACAAGUAGCUAAUUUUGUUUUCCAAUUUACAUCAGGAAGAUUAAAGUCACCCAUGAUGAUAACUUCCCCCUUCAUUGUCAUUUUAGCUAUUUCCUCAACUAGUAGAUUAUC